CACGUACUCCCUCCGUUCGGAAUUACUUGUCUCGAAAAUGGAUGUAUCUAGAACUAAAAUACAUCUAGAUACAUCCAUUUUCGCGACAAGUAAUUCCGAACGGAGGGAGUACGUG
rnacentral:pre_miRNA from 1 species